rnacentral:lncRNA from 1 species
GGCUGGACACCACUGUGAGUGACGAACGUGUGAGCAGCAGUGGGCGCUUGUGCAUAUUACUCUUCGAGCUGGUAAUGGGUACAACGAGUGAAUGUUCGUUAUCACUGAAAGGAAGUAGCAGGAUUGCCUGACCAGCGGGGGCAUGUCAUAAAACUCUUUUUCUAGAUUCUAGGAGCCCGUGCUUUGGUUACAACCAUGGGACAACCGUACCAGUUUUCCAUUUUCCCACACAGUGGCACACAUCUGCUGAAAUAAGGUAGUUCAAGCUCAUCAGGGUAUUGAGGGAUUUAACGUGACACUGAGUUCCGAGGUUUUAGGAUCAUACUAGCAAGC